rnacentral:lncRNA from 1 species
AUGCCCAAUGGCCAAACAAUAAAGUGUCACCAGCCAGAGGCCUAUAAAUAUCUGGGCAUAUUACAGCUGGACAACAUCAAGCAUGAACAUGUGAAGACUGUGGUCAGCAAAGAAUACACACAAAGGGUCAGAAAAAUUCUCAAAAGCAAGCUCAAUGGAGGCAACACCAUCAAAGCCAUAAACACCUGGGCCAUACCUGUCAUAAGAUAUACUGCUGGCAUCAUAAACUGGACACAGGUGGAACUGGACAAUUUGGACAGAAAAACAAGAAAACUCAUGACCAUUCAUCAUUCCCUGCACCCUCGCAGUGAUGUUGACCGGCUGUAUCUGCCUAGAAGAUCAGGGGGCAGAGGACUCUUACAAGUCAAACAAGCAGUCAAAGAAGAAGAACAUGCCCUGGCAGAAGAUGUAAAGCAAAGUGAAGAACCUGCUUUGAUUGAAGUCAAAAAUCAGAAACUCCUCAAAACACAGCAGACAAAAAACCAGUACAAGAAAACCGCACUACAAACUAGAGCUGACAGCUGGCACAACAAAACACUGCAUGGAAAGUUCCUUGACAAAAUUGAAGGAAAAGCUGAUAAGGAGAAGACCUGGCUCUGGCUCACGAAUGGGACCCUGAAGAAGGAGACAGAAGGCCUGAUCCUUGCAGCCCAGGUGAAAAACAACAGGAAAAACUCAGCCGCUCUCAGGACCUCAAGAUUGAACUUCAAAGACUCUGGCAGAAACCAGUGCAGGUGGUCCCGGUGGUGAUGGGCACAUUGGGUGCCGUGCCAAAAGAUCUCAGCCGGCAUUUGGAAACAAUAGACAUUGACAAAAUUACGAUCUGCCAACUGCAAAAGGCCACCCUACUGGGAUCUGCAGCAUCAUCCGAAAAUACAUCACACAGUCCUAGACACUUGGGAAGUGUUCGACUUGUGGUUUUGUGAAACGAAAUCCAGCAUGUCUAUCUUGUUUGCUGUGUCAUACAAUGUUGUUGUGUCAAUAAUAAUAUUAACAACAACAACAACAAUUAAUAUGGCCAUACAGCCCAGAACACACACAACAACCCUGUGAUUCUGGCCAUGAAAGCCUUCGACAACACAAGGCCGUUCAAUGCUAAUCAAGGUGAUCACUUGCACCAUUCACACUUUCCUCCAACAGACAAGGGUCCUUUUUGUCUCCCUCGUUGGACAUCAUUCCAUAGAGAUAUAUCUAAGAUGGAUGGACGGGAUCCUUGAAGGGACUGGCUUGGCCUUGAAGGGACUGGGGGCGGUGACGGCCGACAGGGAGCUCUGGCCUGGACUGGGCCAGGAGGUCACCAAGAGUCGGAGACGACUAAACGACUGAGCAUAUCUAAACCCCACUUGCCUAAUUUCCAACAGACCUCACCACCUCUGAGGAUGCCUGCCAUGGAUAUGGGCGAAACGUCAGAAGAGAGUGCUGCUUCCUGGACCAAUGCCAGGCAGCCACCCAGGGAUCCCGCCCAUGAAACCCUUCCUCGCUGCCUGUCCCUCCCUGCCUCCCAUCAGGGGCGGGGCCUACGUCGCGUGACGUCACGGCCAGCUGAGCUGGGGUGGGGAGGGGGGGGGGCGGCGUUGGCGUUCUCGGCGGCGGCGGCGGCGGCGGAGGUUGCGCAUCCCCUCCGCAUUGCUUCGCCCGCGCCCUCCCCGCUCCGGAGACCCCCUUGACAGCCCCCCAGGAGCCAGGUGAGGAGGGGCCCUUCUGCAUUUGAGGGGGGGGGGAGGGCGCACACCUGAGCCCCUCCCUCGCCAUUUUGGGGGUGGGAGGGGGAGCCACGCCGCCUGUUUGCUGCAGGGCGGGGCGGGGAGGGGCGGGGCGGGGCCCGUGUGCCCAUCAUUGUGGGGAAGGGUCUCCUAUCUCCUUAUAUUUGGGGGAGGGGGGCUACUUCUCCUUUGGUCAGGAGGAAAGGCAGCACCAUUUUGGGAUCCUGUGGCUUUAACAUUGAUCUCGGGAUGCUUUUCAUGCUUUGUCUUCUGCUCCCCAUGUUUGGCAUGCAUCAUGCCCAAGGCUGAAUGGUUUCAAUGCUUUUUGAUUUAAUACGAAUUAUAUACUAUAUAUUAAAUGUAAUAUGACUAAUAACAUCACCAUAUAAUGAUAUAGUACAAUAGAGUAAUUUAAUGCUUGUAUUGUGCUAUGCUCAUAAUAUAUUGUAUGUUCAUUCUCACCCCCGAGGUGAGAAGAGCGGGAUAUAAAUGGAGUAAAUAAACAAUAAAUAAACAAAUAAUAUUACUAAUAAUAUUACCAUAUAUUGAUAUAGUACAAUAGAGUAAUGUAAUGCUUGUAUUGUGCUAUGCUCAGAA